rnacentral:rRNA from 1 species
CAGUAGCCGCGGUAAGACGGAGGGUGCUAGCGUUGUUCGGAAUCACUGGGCGUAAAGGGCGCGUAGGCGGCCUGUUAAGUCGGAUGUGAAAGCCCGGGGCUCAACCCCGGAACUGCAUCCGAGACUGGCAGGCUUGAGACCGGGAGAGGAGGGUGGAAUAUCCAGUGUAGAGGUGAAAUUCGUAGAUAUUGGAUGGAACACCGGUGGCGAAAGCGGCUCUCUGGCCCGGAUCUGACGCUGAGGCGCGAAAGCGUGGGGAGCAAACAGGAUUAGAUACCCCGGUAGUCCCUGUCUCUUAUCA